GACAAACGCUGGCGGCGUGCUUAACACAUGCAAGUCGAACGGUAAGGCCCUUCGGGGUACACGAGUGGCGAACGGGUGAGUAACACGUGGGUGAUCUACCCUGCACUUCGGGAUAAGCCUGGGAAACUGGGUCUAAUACCGGAUAGGACCACUGCCUGCAUGGGUGGUGGUGGAAAGCUUUUGCGGUGUGGGAUGGGCCCGCGGCCUAUCAGCUUGUUGGUGGGGUGAUGGCCUACCAAGGCGACGACGGGUAGCCGGCCUGAGAGGGUGACCGGCCACACUGGGACUGAGAUACGGCCCAGACUCCUACGGGAGGCAGCAGUGUGGAAUAUUGCACAAUGGGCGCAAGCCUGAUGCAGCGACGCCGCGUGAGGGAUGACGGCCUUCGGGUUGUAAACCUCUUUCAGCACCGACGAAGCGCAAGUGACGGUAGGUGCAGAAGAAGGACCGGCCAACUACGUGCCAGCAGCCGCGGUAA
rnacentral:rRNA from 1 species